UUUGGACACCCAAAGUCAAGCCAUAGAGGAGUCAGGCAGAGCUACACAAAAACCUGGUCUCUGACCUCCAGGAGCUGCCCUUCCAGCAGAUAUGAAUAACUCAAAGACAACGGGACAAAUGCUGGGAAAGCAAUGGGGGCAGAGUGCCCGAGAAGCACAGAAGACAAGAACGUAAAUCCUACCUGAGGAAGGAGCAUCGACAAAUGCUUCCCAGGAGAGGUGGAAUCAAGUAGAAUGGAAAAGUGAUCUGGAUAAUCCAGCCAAGCUCAGAAUGAUUCUCCUGGACUUCCCAACAGUACAAUCAAACCAUGGGAUGUUCCAUCUCCUGCCUCAUGUUUCCUACAUGACAUGUCUCCAGGAAGACAGU